CAAUUGGAGGGCAAGUCUGGUGCCAGCAGCCGCGGUUAAUUCCAGCUCCAAUAGCGCAUAUUAAAGUUGUUGCAGUUAAAAAGCUCGUAGUUGAACCUUGGGCCUGGCUGGCCGGUCCGCCUCACGGCGUGCACUGGUCCGGCUGGGCCUUUCUCCUUGGGGAACCCCAUGGCCUUCACUGGCCGUGGGCGGAACCAGGACUUUUACUGUGAAAAAAUUAGAGUGUUCAAAGCAGGCCUUUGCUCGGAUACAUUAGCAUGGAAUAAUAGAAUAGGACGUGUGGUUCUAUUUUGUUGGUUUCUAGGACCGCCGUAAUGAUUAAUAGGGAUAGUCGGGGGCGUCAGUAUUCGGCUGUCAGAGGUGAAAUUCUUGGAUUUGCUGAAGACUAACUACUGCGAAACCAUUCGCCAAGGAUGUUUUCAUUAAUCAGUGAACGAAAGUUAGGGGAUCGAAGACGAUCAGAUACCGUCGUAGUCUUAACCAUAAACUAUGCCGACUAGGGAUCGGACGGGGUUUCUUUUAUGACCCGUUCGGCACCUUACGAGAAAUCAAAGUUUUUGGGUUCUGGGGGGAGUAUGGUCGCAAGGCUGAAACUUAAAGAAA
rnacentral:rRNA from 1 species